rnacentral:rRNA from 1 species
UGGGGAAUAUUGCACAAUGGGCGCAAGCCUGAUGCAGCAACGCCGCGUGAGGGACGACGGCCUUCGGGUUGUAAACCUCUUUUAGUAGGGAAGAAGCGAAAGUGACGGUACCUGCAGAAAAAGCACCGGCUAACUACGUGCCAGCAGCCGCGGUAAUACGUAGGGUGCAAGCGUUGUCCGGAAUUAUUGGGCGUAAAGAGCUCGUAGGCGGUUUGUCGCGUCUGCUGUGAAAAACCCGAGGCUCAACCUCGGGCCUGCAGUGGGUACGGGCAGACUAGAGUGCGGUAGGGGAGAAUGGAAUUCCUGGUGUAGCGGUGGAAUGCGCAGAUAUCAGGAGGAACACCGAUGGCGAAGGCAGUUCUCUGGGCCGUAACUGACGCUGAGGAGCGAAAGCGUGGGGAGCGAACAGGAUUAGAUACCCUGGUAGUCCACGCCGUAAACGUUGGGCGCUAGAUGUGGGGACCAUUCCACGGUUUCCGUGUC